GAGAGAGAGAGAGAGAGACUGCAUUUGUCUUUAAUCACACUGGAACACAUUUCUCCUCUGAGAGCCACUUCUUCCUCUGCUGUGUUCAUUUCCUCCUUAAUUUUAAGCUGUGUUUAACUAGAACGUGUCUCAGACGUGUCUCACUCCACACUGACUAGACUUGAAAUUGCUGACGUUUCUUAUUCUAAUCUCAAUUAAUUUAUGCUUUUGUCUUUGUGUGUGUGUGUGUUGCACUCUCCUGCUGAUGUGCACUUGCCUUUUCCCGUUUCCAGCCGAGUGUCUUCCUGCCAGAGGGCGAGAGAAAGAGGCAGCCCACGGAGCGUGCACACACACACCAGCUUCUCAGGGUUAGACACAGUGUGAGGUUCCAGAUCCUGAAAUACUCCUCUCAUCCCCCAAUUUCACUUCUUUACUCCUGCUGUUUGUUCACUUCUCUUGCUCACCUCCCCCCCACGGUCCCUUGUCGUCAUGGUCACCGCAGAAGCUUUGUCUCAUCUAGCAAACACAGAGUGGUUUACGUUACGUAGCGCAGACUGACUUAUUUUAACAUGCUAUAUAGCGCGUGUGUAUGUGUGUAGCAUGUGCAGUGACCGUCGUGUUUUGAGCAUUAACACAAUCUCAAUGUGUUUUAUUCCUGUGCUCUGUGGCUGUAAUCCGAUCGGCUCCAUUUCCACUUCCGCUAUCAUUCCUGCUAACAUAAUUACUGAGACAGGAGCAGCCCCACACACACACACACACGGUCCAUGUUCUACUGUAACGAGAAUAAGCGCUAUUGCAAUUUCAACAUCAACCUCUGACUGACAUUAUUCUAGCAAAGUGAUGCUGAAUAAUAAUUAUUAUUAGUGUGUGUGUCACUCUGCCGUGUUGACCUUUGACCUGUGUGAUCAGUUAUGAGGAGCGAGCACGGUAUCUGGAGUCGAUCGUGCAGCACCACGUGGAGUUGAGCACGUUUGAGGACUACGCAGCGCGCAUGUUUAGCCCUGCCCCCUUCCACCACCCUCCCAGCGAAUCAGGUGAGCUGUGCCUUCACUCUCAGCCAAUCACAGUUCACUUGGUCACCACCUGUCUCACUUAAAUUAAAACAGUAAUCACUUCCACUCAUAUACAGAGCGCACACACACACACAGAUCUAACCGUCACCAGCCCAAACACUCAUUUCAGUUUAUAUAUUAAAUAAUGAUUCUUUUUGUUUUCAUCUCCCUUCUCCUUUUGCUCAGAAGCAGAAAGUGAUGUCACAGAACAGCUGUAUCAAAAAUGCUAAUGUAGCUAACAAUGAAUACGUGCAGUAGCCACUAAUUAGCAUGAGGUCAGUUAGCAUGCUGAUUGGUUGCUAAUUCUUUGUUAGCAAGAUUUUUUCAUUUUUGACUGAAAAAGCAACACUGCAGAUAACUGACAUUUGGAAAUGUUACUCAGGCCUCAGAAAAUACACUACAUAGUAUUGUGCAUUACUAUACAAUAAUCUACUAUAGUAUAAUCUACUAUACUGUACAAUAAUCUACUAUACAAAUCUACUCUACAAUAAAUUACUAUACUGUAAUCUACUAUAGUCUAAUCUACUAUGCUAUAAAAUCUAGUAUACAAUAAUACUAUAAAACAAUCUACUAUACUGUACAAGUAUAUUGUAAAGAUGUAUACAGUACAUAUCAGGAGCUGAAAUUGCUGGAUUAUUGCUCCACUUUUCUAAGGACGAGUAAAGUUUCAAAUGUAGUUCAUCAGUUGAAUGAAUGUGUGUGUGUGUGUGCACGCGCGCACCCUAUUGUACUGUUUGUUCAGUCAGUAAAGAUCUCCUACUUGGGACCUGAAACGUGACUGGGGUUAGACGAAAGAUCAGAGUGGUGAUUAGUAUGACAAAGAGAGCAAAAUUGGCCGUUCUUUCUGGGUGGGCGGGGCAUAAUCUCUCUCUCCUGUCACUCACAGAAACACUGGAGGAUAGCACCCUUGUUAAACCGCCCUGUGAUGCAGCAUGUCUCGCAUUUCACUGAUAAAUUAAUAGCUCUAGCUGUAAUGAUGUCUUUAAUUAAAUUAAAUUAAUUAAACACACCACUUCCACCCUGGUUAUUCAGCAGCACGGAGAAUAGCACUUGAUCCAGCGCAGACUGUUGGUUUAAUUGAUUUAUAUCAGGCUCUGACUCAGGAGCAGUUGAUAGUGUCUCACUGAGACACGCCUCUCGUUCAGGCAGACUCCGCCCCCAACUCGUGAAUUCUGGUGCGUGCGUGUAAGUUCAGUAUUUAAUCCUCACACACUGAGUGUAUCGUACAGGUCCAGCAUCCUGAACAUAUCUAAACCCCAAAUGAGCAUUAUUCUGCUUUUUGUUUUCAUUUUUCUUCCAUUUUUUUGCUCUUCUGUUGUGUUUCUUCUUUAGAUGAUAAUCAUACACUCAUGUGUGUCUAAAGGUAAGACUGCGACACACACACACACGCAUGCUGCUCCUGUUUCUUUAGUCACUUUGCCUGCCGUCUGUUUUGUUUGCACCUCUUUCCCUCAUUUCUCACACACGACCUGUUCGUGGAGGUGUGUAAUGCUCAGUUCAGCUCGUCUCAUGCAUGUGUAACAUUACACUCUCUCAUCCCCCCAACACCCACACCACACACACACACACCUCUGCCUGCUGUUCUUCUAAUCCACAUCUGGUGUGUCGCAUGGACUCACUUUCAUCACAACACAGUGUUUAACUCCAGCUUGUGUGUGUUUCAGCCUGAAGUAAAACUCAUGCAGUUCCUUCCUGGAGAACCCGGCGUGUGAGAACCCGAGUGUGCCGCUGGACGCCGGUGAUGCAUCAUCUCCCAUCUCUCCUCGAGCCAGCAAGAGCCGCAUGUCCAUGAAGCUGCGCCGCUCCUCGGGAUCCGCCAACAAGACCUGAACACACACGCACAAAACACACAGAGCACAUAGAUCACUAAAACAUAUACGCACUGCACACUCCACGCUCUCACACGCACACACACGUAGUCAUGUGUUGGUAACUGUCUGUACAUCAUGAUACUUUGAUCAAUUCUGAACCCACGAUUUCUGAUGAAAGGUUACUGAGGAACCCGACGCCAUGGUAACGGUGAUAGCGGUGGUGAUGCGUACCGGGUGUCUGUUCCGAUGCAGUGUUACGGAGCUCAGACCGGAUUAAACAUGGACUGAUCACAAACUGCACUCUUCCUCAGCUUCAGUUACUGAUGUGUUUAUAAACUCUGUACACAAGAGGAAAGAAGUGGACCCGUCUCGCUCGCUCUCUCUCUCUGUGUGUGUGUGUGUGAAAUGAAACACAGCCACGUCCUCCUGUUACACCAGUCCUUCUUUCAUUGCUUUAACGUUUUUAUCUCAUGACGACACUACUGUUCUUCUACACUCUAACAACACGUCCUCUUUACCUCAGACGCACUCGGUCAGUGUGAGACAUUGGAGCUAAUGACGCUAACAAGUAAUGGAAACUUAAGGCCUCCAGUUUAGCAUGAUACACCUGUGUGUGAGGCUCCACCCACUGCAGUGUCUCCUAUGUUGUGUUUUUUUUUUUUUUUUUACAGGUGUAGAUUUUGGGGAAAAUAAAGUCGUCGGGACUCAAUUUCAUUUGUUCCCGUUUUCAUAACAAAGUGAACUAGGUUAAAAAAAAUAAAUCCUACACAGUGUGUAAAAAUAAAACAGGGGAAUGAUGAUAAUUAAAUGAUUAAUAGGGGUUAGUGACACAGGAAAACGGCUAUAAACUCAAUCACGGGGACGAAUAAUUCCGCGAGGAGUCAAAGUAAAGCACUCGGUAAUAAAACUGGAGUCGAGACUGGGAUUAAAACACUAAACCCGAGGCUACAGGCUUCUGUUAUUUGUUAGCCACGUUAGCAUCGUAGCCGCAGUGUAAGAUGAAAUAUGGAAAGGUGUUCUGUUGCUCGAGUGCGUUUGGAGGAAACGGCGACUCUGGGCGCAUUUCGUUUCAUUAGAUUGUGUUUUUCUGUUGUACAGAAAUGUGUGUGUGUGUGUUUGUAUAUAAAUAUAAAUAUAAAUGUGAGCGAAAUCUGCAUAUUUAAUGGUUGUGGAUGAGCAGAAUCUGGUCUGUGUACAUAUUUAACAGGAUUUAAAGAAAAGAAAAAAAACACUAAACAAAACGAGACUCGAGUUCGGUGCUGAAGCUUCAUAGCUCUGUCGAGUCUCUCUCACACACACACACACUCUCUCUCUCUCUCUCUCUCUCUGCAGCCAGGAGGAGGCUCUUAUUUUCCUACAGACGGGUAAAACUUUAAUUAAAAGCCGACAUCAUCAUCAUCACGAGGUCAGAGUUGAACUCUGGAGCUAAAGAUAAACCAGACCAAACUGAAGAGCGACGCAUUACAGUCCUGGAUACACACUGCAGCAAAAGUUUGUGCCCCCCAUAGACAUGCACUGAUUAACGCUGACUUUUAAAGCUUGCUUUUUUUUCCCCUCUUUUUUUUUAAAAAACACUUAAGAAAACAUUACAGAAUCUAAAGUAUUUUUCAUUGUUGGUUUUAUUUCCUGAAAGUGUCAUUUUUGAAACCGUGAAUUUUUUUUACCGCCUUUGAAAUGACCACGAACAGAUGAGUCAUUUCCUCUUUUUUUUUUAUUAUUUACUCAUUUCCUCUUCCUUUUCAACCCAUCAAUAUUCUAAUUUUGGAAUGCCGGCACAUCCUCCUGACAUCUCGAACAGCUGUUAGUCACACGAUGUUACCGUGACGACCCAUCACCAACGUUACACUACAGGAUGUGCUCACCUGGUCAUUGUACAGUAAUUUGGAUACAUGGACGUGAUUGGAGAUUAUUUUGUGACAUCACAAACCAAGUUCCGUAGCCAUAGCCCCGCCCCUAAAUCAGUUUUCUAUGCCGAUGUUCUGAGGAAGUCUCUGGUUUGAAGGUUAAAAAGGUAAAAAAUGUGAGUUUCUGUCAAAUCGAUCUAAAAUCUAAAGACGUUAACGUGACAGCGUGGAGUGUUGCGGCUGCUCGGCAGGUGUUCAGGGCGGUAUAGAUCGGGACAGUUAUCGAUUGUUUGUGCUGUAAAUGCGACGCAUCCCAGAAGCCUGAAUAGUUUGGACACAGGCUCCAGAUGGUUUUAUAUCAGAAAGCUGAAACGUGCACACGCUGGAACGUGGACGUGCGAGACAUUGGUGUAAGUUACUGCUGAGAGAGAGAUAGCUGCAUGACGCACGUGCUUACUGCAUGCCUUAGGGAGAAACACACACACACUCAUCUACAUAUUUGUAAAGAGGAAAAUCAGAUGUGCAACUGAACAAACAAAUAAAAAGUAUUAUUCUCA
ensembl:lncRNA